UACAGAGGGGGCAAGCGUUGUUCGGAAUUACUGGGCGUAAAGGGCGCGUAGGCGGCCUGUUAAGUCGAACGUGAAAUCCCCGGGCUCAACCCGGGAACUGCGUCCGAUACUGGCAGGCUUGAAUCCGGGAGAGGGAUGUGGAAUUCCAGGUGUAGCGGUGAAAUGCGUAGAUAUCUGGAGGAAUACCGGUGGCGAAGGCGGCAUCCUGGACCGGCAUUGACGCUGAGGAGCGAAAGCCAGGGGAGCAAACGGG
rnacentral:rRNA from 1 species